GCCGGGGUGGCGGAACUGGUAGACGCGCCAUCUUGAGGGGGUGGUGAGCGCAAGCUUGUAAGGGUUCAAAUCCCUUCCCCGGCACCA
rnacentral:tRNA from 1 species